UUAUACGGCGAAACUGCGAAUGGCUCAUUAUAUAAGUUAUCGUUUAUUUGAUAGUGCCUUACUACUUGGAUAACCGUGGUAAUUCUAGAGCUAAUACAUGCUAAAAACCCCGACUCCGGGAGGGGUGUAUUUAUUAGAUUAAAAACCAAUGCCCUUCGGGGCUCACUGGUGAUUCAUGAUAACUUCUCGAAUCGCACGGCCUUGCGCCGGCGAUGGUUCAUUCAAAUUUCUUCCCUAUCAACUUUCGAUGUUUGGGUAGUGGCCAAACAUGGUGGCAACGGGUAACGGAGGGUUAGGGCUCGACCCCGGAGAAGGAGCCUGAGAAACGGCUACUACAUCCAAGGAAGGCAGCAGGCGCGCAAAUUACCCAAUCCCGAUACGGGGAGGUAGUGACAAUAAAUACUGAUACAGGGCUCUUUUGGGUCUUGUAAUCGGAAUGAGUACAAUUUAAAUCCCUUAACGAGGAACAAUUGGAGGGCAAGUCUGGUGCCAGCAGCCGCGGUAAUUCCAGCUCCAAUAGCGUAUAUUAAAGUUGUUGUGGUUAAAAAGCUCGUAGUUGAACCUUGGCCCUGGCUGGCCGGUCCGCCUCACCGCGUGCACUGGUCCGGCCGGGGCUUUCCCUCUGUGGAACCCCAUGCCCUUUACUGGGCGUGGCGGGGAAACAGGACUUUUACUUUGAAAAAAUUAGAGUGCUCCAGGCAGGCCUAUGCUCGAAUACAUUAGCAUGGAAUAAUAGAAUAGGACGUGUGGUUCUAUUUUGUUGGUUUCUAGGACCGCCGUAAUGAUUGAUAGGGACAGUCGGGGGCAUCAGUAUUCAAUUGUCAGAGGUGAAAUUCUUGGAUUUAUUGAAGACUAACUACUGCGAAAGCAUUUGCCAAGGAUGUUUUCAUUAAUCAGGAACGAAAGUUAGGGGAUCGAAGACGAUCAGAUACCGUCGUAGUCUUAACCAUAAACUAUGCCGACUAGGGAUCGGGCGAUGUUUUUCUUUGACUCGCCCGGCACCUUACGAGAAAUCAAAGUGC
rnacentral:rRNA from 1 species